UCCGCUGACGACCGGCGCACGGGUGCGUAACGCGUAUGCAACCUACCUUCUACAGGGGGAUAGUCAAUAGAAAUGUUGAAUAAUACCCCAUACGAUCUUUGAAUAGCAUUAUUUAAAGAAGAAAGCUCCGGCGGUAGAAGAUGGGCAUGCGUCCUAUUAGUUAGUUGGUAAGGUAACGGCUUACCAAGACUUCGAUAGGUAGGGGUCCUGAGAGGGAGACCCCCCACACUGGUACUGAGACACGGACCAGACUCCUACGGGAGGCAGCAGUGAGGAAUAUUGGACAAUGGAGGCAACUCUGAUCCAGCCAUGCCGCGUGCAGGAAGACUGCCCUAUGGGUUGUAAACUGCUUUUAUACAGGAAGAAAUAUGCCUACGUGUAGGUAUUUGACGGUACUGUACGAAUAAGGAUCGGCUAACUCCGUGCCAGCAGCCGCGGUAAUACGGAGGAUCCAAGCGUUAUCCGGAAUCAUUGGGUU
rnacentral:rRNA from 1 species